rnacentral:pre_miRNA from 1 species
AAUAAAUCAAUAUUUCACUUUUUACCGAUAAUGUUUGACUCUUCGUUUUAUUUGAAAAAAUUACGAUUAAUAUUUUUGUUUUUAUUGGAUGAUAAAUUAUAAAUAGUACUUUAAGUGUGACUAAUAUUUUAGAAAAAUUUAAAUUUUUCUAAAUAAGACGGACGGUCAAACGCUGGAUACGAAAAU